UACGUAGGGUGCGAGCGUUGUCCGGAAUUAUUGGGCGUAAAGAGCUUGUAGGCGGUUUGUCGCGUCUGCUGUGAAAAUCCGGGGCUCAACCCCGGACUUGCAGUGGGUACGGGCAGACUAGAGUGUGGUAGGGGAGACUGGAAUUCCUGGUGUAGCGGUGAAUGCGCAGAUAUCAGGAGGAACACCGAUGGCGAAGGCAGGUCUCUGGGCCACUACUGACGCUGAGAAGCGAAAGCAUGGGGAGCGAACAGG
rnacentral:rRNA from 1 species